rnacentral:rRNA from 1 species
GAUGAACGCUGGCGGCGUGCCUAAUACAUGCAAGUCGAGCGAACAGAUAAGGAGCUUGCUCCUUUGACGUUAGCGGCGGACGGGUGAGUAACACGUGGGUAACCUACCUAUAAGACUGGGAUAACUUCGGGAAACCGGAGCUAAUACCGGAUAACAUUUGGAACCGCAUGGUUCUAAAGUGAAAGAUGGUUUUGCUAUCACUUAUAGAUGGACCCGCGCCGUAUUAGCUAGUUGGUAAGGUAACGGCUUACCAAGGCGACGAUACGUAGCCGACCUGAGAGGGUGAUCGGCCACACUGGAACUGAGACACGGUCCAGACUCCUACGGGAGGCAGCAGUAGGGAAUCUUCCGCAAUGGGCGAAAGCCUGACGGAGCAACGCCGCGUGAGUGAUGAAGGGUUUCGGCUCGUAAAGCUCUGUUAUUAGGGAAGAACAAAUGUGUAAGUAACUGUGCACGUCCUGACGGUACCUAAUCAGAAAGCCACGGCUAACUACGUG